rnacentral:rRNA from 1 species
GACGAACGCUGGCGGCGUGCUUAACACAUGCAAGUCGAACGAAGAGCGAUGGAUGCUUGCUUCUAUCAAUCUUAGUGGCGAACGGGUGAGUAACGCGUAAUCAACCUGCCCUUCAGAGGGGGACAACAGUUGGAAACGACUGCUAAUACCGCAUACGAUCUAACCUCGGCAUCGAGGAUAGAUGAAAGGUGGCCUCUACAUGUAAGCUAUCACUGAAGGAGGGGAUUGCGUCUGAUUAGCUAGUUGGAGGGGUAACGGCCCACCAAGGCGAUGAUCAGUAGCUGGUCUGAGAGGAUGAACGGCCACAUUGGGACGGAGACACGGCCCAGACUCCUACGGGAGGCAGCAGUGGGGAAUCUUCCGCAAUGGACGAAAGUCUGACGGAGCAACGCCGCGUGAGUGAUGACGGCCUUCGGGUUGUAAAGCUCUGUUAAUCGGGACGAAAGGCCUUCUUGCGAAUAGUGAGAAGGAUUGACGGUACCGGAAUAGAAAGCCACGGCUAACUACGUG